CUGGCUCUGUGCACCUCAGUGUUGCCCCAGAGCUGCCACCUCCUGUCUGCUGGGGACACCGGGCAUGAGCCACAAUGACCAUGACACCAGCACUGGCUUUGCUCAUCCUUCUGGCAGCUCCACCAGGUAUCCUGGCCCAGGUCACGCUGAAGGAGUCUGGCCCAGGGGUCGUGAAGCCCGGAGAGACCCUCAGCCUGACCUGCACCGUGUCUGGAUUUUCUCUCACUAGCUAUCAUAUGCAGUGGGUUCGGCAGGCAGCAGGGAAAGGGCUGGAGUGUGUUGGAGGUAUCUGGAGUGCUGGAGGCACUAACUAUAACAGUGCUCUCCAAAGCCGCCUCAACAUCAGCAGAGACACUUCCAGAAGCCAAGUGCACCUGCGCCUGACUGGGGUCCAACCUGGAGACACAGCCUGGUAUUACUGUGCCAGAGACUCACACAGUGAAUGA